UACGUAGGUGGCAAGCGUUGUCCGGAAUUAUUGGGCGUAAAGGGCGCGUAGGCGGAUGGUACAGUCAGAUGUGAAAUUCCUGGGCUUAACCUGGGGGGCUGCAUUUGAUACGUAUUGUCUAGAGUGAGGAAGAGGGUCGUGGAAUUCCCAGUGUAGAGGUGAAAUUCGUAGAUAUUGGGAAGAACGCCGGUGGCGAAGGCGGCGACCUGGUCCUUGACUGACGCUGAGGCGCGAAAGCGUGGGGAGCAAACAGG
rnacentral:rRNA from 1 species